rnacentral:misc_RNA from 1 species
GACGAGGGAUCCUAGCGUUAUCCGGAAUUAUUGGGCGUAAAGAGCUCGUAGGCGGUUUGUCGCGUCUGCCGUGAAAGUCCGGGGCUCAACUCCGGAUCUGCGGUGGGUACGGGCAGACUUGAGUGAUGUAGGGGAGACUGGAAUUCCUGGUGUAGCGGUGAAAUGCGCAGAUAUCAGGAGGAACACCGAUGGCGAAGGCAGGUCUCUGGGCAUUAACUGACGCUGAGGAGCGAAAGCAUGGGGAGCGAACAGG